rnacentral:rRNA from 1 species
UGAACGCUGGCGGUAUGCCUAACACAUGCAAGUCGUACGAGGGUUUUUAACUCUAGUGGCGGACGGGUGAGUAACACGUGAGAAUUUGCCUUUAGGAGGGGGAUAACAAUCGGAAACGAAUGCUAAUACCCCAUAUGCUUUCGAGUGAAACGGAUUUAUCGGCAAAGGAUCGGCCCGCGUUGGAUUAGGUAGUUGGUAGGGUAAUGGCCUACCAAGCCGACGAUCCAUAGCUGGUUUGAGAGGAUGAUCAGCCACACUGGGACUGAGACACGGCCCAGACUCCUACGGGAGGCAGCAGUGGGGAAUCUUAGACAAUGGGGGAAACCCUGAUCUAGCCAUGCCGCGUGAGCGAUGAAGGCCUUAGGGUUGUAAAGCUCUUUCAGUGGGGAAGAUAAUGACGGUACCCACAGAAGAAGCCCCGGCUAACUCCGUGCCAGCAGCCGCGGUAAUCUGAUGGCGCGA